ACGGGAGGCAGCAGUGGGGAAUAUUGCACAAUGGGGGAAACCCUGAUGCAGCGACGCCGCGUGAGUGAAGAAGUAUUUCGGUAUGUAAAGCUCUAUCAGCAGGAAAGAAAAUGACGGUACCUGACUAAGAAGCCCCGGCUAACUACGUGCCAGCAGCCGCGGUAAUACGUAGGGGGCAAGCGUUAUCCGGAUUUACUGGGUGUAAAGGGAGCGUAGACGGUAAGGCAAGUCUGAAGUGAAAUGCCAGGGCUCAACCCUGGAACUGCUUUGGAAACUGUCCUACUAGAGCGCAGGAGAGGUAAGUGGAAUUCCUAGUGUAGCGGUGAAAUGCGUAGAUAUUAGGAGGAACACCAGUGGCGAAGGCGGCUUACUGGACUGUAACUGACGUUGAGGCUCGAAAGCGUGGGGAGCAAACAGGAUUAGAUACCCUGGUA
rnacentral:rRNA from 1 species